GGCUGGUAAGCUAGUGUGUGGUGUUGGUAUUUUUUCUUUUUUUUUCUCCUCUCUACAUUCAGCUUCAUCAGUAAGCAGAGGGAGAGGACCCUGUUGAGCGACAAGUGUCCCGGUUCAGCGAGAGCAGCAGAGAGGGUUCGAUCACCUCGACCCAGAUGGAACAGGACGUGCCCGGCGAGCGUGGGGUUCUCCGAGGCGGUUUUCAAAGUGUGGGUUUUCGCGGAACACUCUGCGCCACACAUCAUCGGCACGUACGAGGCGAUGGCUGGCGAGAACAUCCCCACCAACACGCUUCCUGUUCCCCGACAUCUCUAAAGACGAGGCCGUUGGGAAGUACUAGCCCAAACCCUGUGAAAUUUUUAUUUGUGGCUUUUGACAGAAAAGUUUAAGCGGCUUGCAGCUCCAGAGCGAAUGGAUGUGGACAACGCAGAGCGUACGGGUUACCUGAAGACGGAGCUCAUAUCUGUCUCCAAAGAUGAGUGCAGAAUUUGAGGAGUAAAAGCGAGGACGGCAGAACUUCAUCCACGUUUUAGACAGUACUUUGUUAAAGUAUUUUUGAAGUGUAAAGUAGUUAAAGACUUUGAAUAAGUUGCUAAAGAAAACAGUACUUUGUAAUUUUUGUUUGUGGCUUUUGACACCAAACUGUAAAAGAGUGGCAACCCCAGAGUCAAUGAUGUGGACAACGCAGAGCGUACGGGCGAGAGGAAGACGGCGCUCAUUUCUGUCUCCGAAGGGUAGGUGUCAUUCUUAGAAAAAUUUUGAGAGUAUUUUUUAAAAGUAUUUGUAAAGUAAGCUAAAGACUUAGGAAAAUUUAAAAGCAGAGUAUUUGUAAAGUUGUUAAACACUGAGGAAAAAUUUUUGAGUACUUGUAAAGUAAGUUAAACACUUAGGGA